rnacentral:rRNA from 1 species
UACGAAGGGGGCUAGCGUUGCUCGGAAUCACUGGGCGUAAAGGGUGCGUAGGCGGGUCUUUAAGUCAGGGGUGAAAUCCUGGAGCUCAACUCCAGAACUGCCUUUGAUACUGAGGAUCUUGAGUUCGGGAGAGGUGAGUGGAACUGCGAGUGUAGAGGUGAAAUUCGUAGAUAUUCGCAAGAACACCAGUGGCGAAGGCGGCUCACUGGCCCGGUACUGACGCUGAGGUACGAAAGCGUGGGGAGCAAACAGG